rnacentral:lncRNA from 1 species
CAAACACUUACUGAGUAUUGUAUGCACCAAAACCAUUGCAAGCACUUUACAUGUAUUAUCUCACUGAAUCCUCACAUCUCUCUGAGACCACCAGGCAAAGGAAGAUGGAAACUGCAGACUGGAGACCAGCAAGAAGCACUCUUUGCAUGAGAUGAGGGCCUCUGAUUCCAUGUGAUUAUUCCAGCAGGGACGAGAACAUGCAGGGUUCAAAUCAAAAUUGUCUCAUGAUCUCAUCUAAUAACAAAGAUGAUGUUUAUUGGGGAUUCUAUAUGCCUGACAGGAGCUACUGAAUGAACAGGACAGAUGAGGUUCAUGCCCCUUGGUCGCUGCUCACUUUGUAGCAGAAUUUGGGCAAUAAACAGGCCUUUGAAGUGGACCAGCAACUUUCCUGGGUCUCCAGCUUGCAGACUGCAGAUUGUGAGAUUUCCCAGCCUCCAUAAUCAUCACCAUGGCAAGAAAGCGCCACCCUUGAAUGUCCUGCCUACUCAGCUGAAAGCAGCAGCUGUUCCAAUAAGCAAUUUGAUGUUCAGCACCUGAGACUGGCUCCCUCCUUCCAGCAAGACUGCAAGCUCAACAGAAUGUAGGAAAGCACGGACAAGUUUCCUGAUGCAGCAAGGAGAGCAACACAGGCAUUUGAAAAGCUAUAUCUGGUAAGAUCAGGAAAUAACUAUUUUUCACCCAACACAUCUUCAAUCCCGCCUGGGAAGGAUUUGCCAAGGAUGAG